GUACGAUCUUGGUCUAGCGAUCGUACAAGAGUAAAAAUGCAAAAAAAUCGUAUGAGUACGAUUAAAAUCUUACAUCUGGCAGCCCUGGUCCUCGGCGCCGACGAAUGAUCGUGGCGCGGG